CAUUCACUGAAAGCGACAUUACAACAGAAAUGUUUACAGGCACCACAAUACCAGAGACAACAUUCACUGAAAGCGACACUACAACAGAAAUGUAUACAGCACACAGCGCAAUGCAACAAACAACAAAUGAGAUCAUAAACGGAAAUGGUGUUCUGUAUGAAUACGGGAACGCAACUGACAGUCUGAGCAUAAGGAC